UUUAUUGAAACCGGAAUGAAAGGUUUAACACACAAUUUUUGUUUUGAGGUUUAUUUGUUAAUUUAUAUUUUAUGUAAAAAUACAUAAAUAUUAAAGGGGGACGAUAAGACCCUAAAAGCUUUAUUCUUAAAUAAUAAGCUUUUAUUGUUUUAAUUGGGUUUAAAUUUUUGGUUUUUGGCUGGGGCAGCAUUUUUUGUAAACAAAUUAAUUUAUUUACUUUUUGGUUUAAAGGUCCUUUAAAUAAGGAUAGAUAGUUUUAGUUACUUUAGGGAUAACAGCGCGAUAAUAGUGGGGAGACCUUAUUUAUAUUAUUGAUUGUGACCUCGAUGUUGAAUUAAUUUUCUUUAUAAAGCAGAAAUUAUUUUUUGAAAGUUUGUUCAACUUUUAAAUUAUUACAUGAUUUGAUUUCCAA
rnacentral:rRNA from 1 species